rnacentral:rRNA from 1 species
UGGGGAAUUUUGCACAAUGGGGGAAACCCUGAUGCAGCGACGCCGCGUGAUUUAGAAGGCCUUCGGGUUGUAAAAAUCUUUUGUAUGGGAAGAAAAUGACAGUACCAUACGAAUAAGGACCGGCUAAUUACGUGCCAGCAGCCGCGGUAAUACGUAAGGUCCGAGCGUUGUCCGGAAUCAUUGGGCGUAAAGGGUACGUAGGCGGAUAAGCAAGUUAGAAGUGAAAUCCUAUAGCUCAACUAUAGUAAGCUUUUAAAACUGCUCAUCUUGAGGUAUGGAAGGGAAAGUGGAAUUCCUAGUUUAGCGGUGAAAUGCGCAGAUAUUAGGAGGAAUACCGGUGGCGAAGGCGACUUUCUGGCCAUGAACUGACGCUGAGGUACGAAAGCGUGGGUAGCAAACAGG